UCCAGACUCCUACGGGAGGCAGCAGUGGGGAAUAUUGGGCAAUGGGCGCAAGCCUGACCCAGCAAUGCCACGUGAAGGAAGAAGGCUUUCGGGUUGUAAACUUCUUUGACAGGGGAAGAGCAGAAGACGGUACCCUGAAAACAAGCCACGGCUAACUCCGUGCCAGCAGCCGCGGUAAUACGGAGGGUGCGAGCGUUAAUCGGAAUUACUGGGCGUAAAGCGCUCGUAGGCGGUAUGUCAAGUCAAGGGUGAAAUCCCCGCGCUCAACGUGGGAACUGCCUUUGAAACUGGCAAACUGGAGUGUGUGAGAGGAUAGUGGAAUUCCAGGUGUAGGAGUGAAAUCCGUAGAUAUCUGGAGGAACAUCAGUGGCGAAGGCGACUAUCUGGCACAUAACUGACGCUGAGGAGCGAAAGCGUGGGUAGCAAACAGGAUUAGAUACCCUGGUAC
rnacentral:rRNA from 1 species